rnacentral:rRNA from 1 species
AUGUUCAGGAACAUCUUUCGGGAAGUGAUGCGAAUUCAGGAACGAUGGCCGAUAAUUGUGCUUCGGGAAGGUAAUAACCCACCACCAAAGCCAUGGGAGCGUGUUGGCACUUCAUCUGGCCCAGCCCCUUUCAAGCCCCCCUCUGGAGGCAGCACUAGCGACGUUGUUGAGGCCUCUGGGACAGCAAAACCUGGGGAAGUUGUUUCUGCUGCACAGAGCAAUGCUGCUUUCAACGUGAACAAUACAGUUGCAGGGCCUGUGCCCCCGCGUCCCUGGCAGCAGCAAGGAUACGGAAAUACUUAUGGGGGUGAUGGUGCCAGUACCUAUAAUUCAUAUGGUGGAUUUGGCGGGGCUUAUAGUAACGGUGGGCUAUACGGAAAUAAUAACAUGUAUUCAGGGUAUGGAGGUGGUUACGGCGGUUCGUACGGAGGCUCUGGGAUGUAUGGUGGGUCAAUGUAUAAUAACGGGAUGGGAAAUCCAUACGGUGGAAUGGGCAUGAGUCCUUACAAUCAGGGUCCUCAUUCGUUUGGCCCUCCAGCACCACCCCCAGGUUUCUGGGUGUCCUUCCUACGAGUGAUGCAUGGGAUUGUGAAUUUCUCUGGGCGAGUUGCAUUCCUUAUCAGCCAGAACACUCAGGCAUUCCACAUGUUCAUCACAGCUCUUUUGCAGCUAUGUGAUAAGUCUGGAAUGCUUUAUGGUGAGCUUGCGAGAUUCACAUUUCGAUUGCUGGGGAUCAAAACCAAACCAAAUAAGGGCAGAAUUCAGGGUGCACAAGCUCCAUCAUUGGAUGGGCCAGGCCAGCAGUUCGUUGAGGCACCAAAAGCUAGCAAGAACUCAUGGGAGAACGUCUGGAGCGGCGAUGCUAAGGGAAUGUGA